UACGACUACAUAUCAGGCAUAUCAAUAAGCGGAGGAAAAGAAACUAACUAGGAUUCCCUCAGUAACGGCGAGUGAAGCGGGAAGAGCUCAAAUUUGAAAUCUUCAAGGUUUUACCUUGACGAAUUGUAGUUUAAAGAAGUGUUUUCUGUUGGAAUUUUCGGUAAAAGUUCUUUGGAAAUAGACAUCAUAAGAGGGUGAGAAUCCCGUAUUUGACCAUUAUUUUCAGGCUGUGUGAUACACUUUCAAAGAGUCGGAUUGUUUGGGAAUGCAGUCCAAAAUGGGUGGUAAAUUUCAUCUAAAGCUAAAUAUUGGCGAGAGACCGAUAGCGAACAAGUACCGUGAGGGAAAGAUGAAAAGAACUUUGAAAAGAGAGUUAAACAGUACGUGAAAUUGUCAAAAGGGAAGCGUUUGACACCAGUGUUGUUUUCUCGAAAAUCAAUUAAAAAUGGACUGGAUUUUGUGUUGUAUUGACCUUAUAAGCUUUCUGCACUUUUUUCUAUGUCUUUUUUAAUGCACUUUUCGUUUAACAAGUCAACAUCAAUUUCUUUUGUUGUAAAAGGGUCAUUGGAAGGUGGCUUUCACUUUCGGUAGAAAGUGUUUAUAGCCUUUGACUCCUGCAAUCGGAGAGACUGAGGUCUGCAGCGUAGAUCCUUUUGGAUUAGAUUCAUUUGUGCUAAGUUAUAGCUUUUUAUAGACAACAUUGUUGACUAUAUUUAGUCUUGUAACUUACUCGCUUAUGUAAUCUUACCUACGCUUAGGAUGUUGAAUCUGUGCGAGACUAC
rnacentral:rRNA from 1 species